rnacentral:rRNA from 1 species
GACGAACGCUGGCGGCGUGCUUAACACAUGCAAGUCGAACGGAAAGGCCUCUUUCGGGGGGUACUCGAGUGGCGAACGGGUGAGUAACACGUGAGUAACCUGCCCUUGACUUUGGGAUAACUUCAGGAAACUGGGGCUAAUACCGGAUAGGAGCUCCUGCUGCAUGGUGGGGGUUGGAAAGUUUCGGCGGUUGGGGAUGGACUCGCGGCUUAUCAGCUUGUUGGUGGGGUAGUGGCCUACCAAGGCUUUGACGGGUAGCCGGCCUGAGAGGGUGACCGGCCACAUUGGGACUGAGAUACGGCCCAGACUCCUACGGGAGGCAGCAGUGGGGAAUAUUGCACAAUGGGCGGAAGCCUGAUGCAGCAACGCCGCGUGCGGGAUGACGGCCUUCGGGUUGUAAACCGCUUUCGCCUGUGACGAAGCGUGAGUGACGGUAAUGGGUAAAGAAGCACCGGCUAACUACGUG